GACGAACCGUGCGAACGUUAUUCGGAAUCACUGGGCUUAAAGCGCGUGUAGGCGGGCCGCCCCGUCGGCUGCUGAAAUCCCCCGGCUCAACCGCGGAAGGGCCUCCGAUACCGGCGGGCUGGAGGGAGGUAGGGGUGCGCGGAACUUCUGGUGGAGCGGUGAAAUGCGUUGAUAUCAGAAGGAACGCCGGCGGCGAAAGCGGCGCACUGGACCUCUGCUGACGCUGAGGCGCGAAAGCCAGGGGAGCAAACGGG
rnacentral:rRNA from 1 species